UACGGAGGGUGCGAGCGUUGUCCGGAAUCACUGGGCGUAAAGGGCGCGUAGGCGGCGCGGAUAGUCGGCGGUGAAAGCCCGGAGCUCAACUCCGGGUCGGCCGUCGAUACUUCCGGGCUUGAGCACUGUAGAGGCAGAUGGAAUUCCGGGUGUAGCGGUGGAAUGCGUAGAGAUCCGGAGGAACACCGGUGGCGAAGGCGGGUCUCUGGGCCGAUGACUGACGCUGAGGAGCGAAAGCGUGGGGAGCGAACAGG
rnacentral:rRNA from 1 species